rnacentral:rRNA from 1 species
GAUGAACGCUGGCGGCGUGCCUAAUACAUGCAAGUCGAGCGAACAGACGAGGAGCUUGCUCCUCUGACGUUAGCGGCGGACGGGUGAGUAACACAUGGAUAACCUACCUAUAAGACUGGGAUAACUUCGGGAAACCGGAGCUAAUACCGGAUAAUAUGUUGAAUCGCAAGGUUCAACAGUGAAAGACGGUCUUGCUGUCACUUAUAGAUGGAUCCGCGCCGCAUUAGCUAGUUGGUAAGGUAACGGCUUACCAAGGCAACGAUGCGUAGCCGACCUGAGAGGGUGAUCGGCCACACUGGAACUGAGACACGGUCCAGACUCCUACGGGAGGCAGCAGUAGGGAAUCUUCCGCAAUGGGCGAAAGCCUGACGGAGCAACGCCGCGUGAGUGAAGAAGGUCUUCGGAUCGUAAAACUCUGUUAUUAGGGAAGAACAAAUGUGUAAGUAACUAUGCACGUCUUGACGGUACCUAAUCAGAAAGCCACGGCUAACUACGUG